ACACACGCACACACUUGAUGCAUACAAUGGUCGUGAAACACAAGAAUGGUCGACACGCCGCUGCAUUAGUUCCACAUGGAGCCGUUAGCCGUUAGCCACCGGGUAACGCAGACGCGGCUCCUGUGGGGCGAAAUCACAUAGUGGCCCCCCCGAUUUAGAGCGUAUUUGUGUGUGUGUGUGUGUGUGCGCGCGAUGUUCUUCAGUGCUCUGCGGAGUGCGGCCCGGGCAACCGGACACGGGCGGCGCUGUGCCUGACGGAUCACCUGACCGAUCUCCCAUUGGACAGCUGCGAAGGGGAACGCCCACCAGAGGCCACAGCCUGCGAGUCAGGCCCCUGCUUCAAUCACCUGGAGUGGUACACUGGCCCCUGGGGGCAGUGUUCGGCAGAGUGCGGGAGCGGCACACGGACCCGGCGUUCGGUCUGCAUUUCCAGCAGUGACGGUCGUGUGGUGGUUGCAGACCCAGCGGAGUGCCCCAGUCUCUCUCAGCCAAUCACAGCCCAGCAGCCCUGCAGACUGAAGCCAUGUGGCGUCCAGUGGUACGUCAAAGACUGGAGUGCGUGCUCACGCUCCUGCGGCGGGGGGCUACCGCGUGCGCGAGGUGCGCUGUCUCGCGGACACCGUCAUGCCCAGUGACAGCGGUGACCCCGGUUUGACCCCGGAAAGGCCGAGAAGAAUGCAACAAGCAGCCUUGUGGUGUCGAGAUAAACCCAUCGUGCGGCGACCAGCACCACAACUGCAUGGUGGUGGUUCCGGCCCGGCUCUGCGUGAACGCCUACUACAGGAGCGCGUGCUGCUCCUCCUGCUCCCGGGCCCUCAGGUCCUGCCCCAGCUCACUUCUAAAGGACCACGUCCGCCGGUGACGGGCAGCGGUGCGUCCUUCAGUCAGAAGAGCGACAGCUCGAUCUCUCUCCGCCGGCGGCCGUGUGCAAGUGCGGCCUAAAACUCCACGGAAGCUCCUGUCAUCAGUGUAUGAAUGAGGGUAAAUGAUGACAUGUGCACGAGGUCAGAAGAGUAUCGUCCAUUUACCACUAUAAUAUAGUCCAAACAAUUUGUAUUCAAGCUGAUCUUAAAUCAUUAACGGUUCAUUUAUACCCCAAAGCAAUAUGUGUGCUGCCAGGGAAUAAAGAUGCACUUGAUGGAAGAAAUACAAUGGAAAGGGACAUAUUAUAUUAAAGGAUAGUUCCACAAUUUUUCUGUCAUGAUUUUUUAUUAUUUGUCUAGAGGGAAACAGGGGAGAGUAAUAUCUUUAGCCAGCAGGCACUUUCUUUUAGUCAAGUCAUUCCUGGGCCUGAGUCUGAUCAGCGUCACCAAAAGAACCUUUUGAUUGUUUUCUUGUUGAGAUGAACAGCUAUUCCAAAUACUGGGGAAUGUGGAGUGAUAAAUCAGUUAUCCCAGUAAACUAAAAAGACGCAGCCAUAGCAACAGUAACUAAGGACGCCACACACCUUCUCAAUAUGGGGUCAAUAUCAAAGUGGGCAAAAAGUCAACGUACAUCCAGUAGAGAUGAAAUAAAUAUGUUGCCUGUUGUCGUGAAAGCUUUGUUUAUAUCAGAAAACAGGAGUCCAUCAUUAAUUACCUCGAGGCAACUGGGUCUGUUCAUCAUUUUAAAAUGAAAGAUUUAUUUUUAUGGUUGUCUGUAUGCUAAACAUGUAGCGAGACGGCAGACAGCCAGCUAGCGGACUAAUAAUAAUAAUAAUAAGUAUCUCUGUUCAUAAAGCUGUCACAUCAAUGAGACCUUUAUCCAGACAUGCAUUUUGAAGCUGUUCAAAAGAACCAUUGCCGAUCAGCUGAAAACUACUAAAUAAUAUGCCGUGUGUCUGAUAUUUAUAUUUAGAUUGUUCACUUGAGUAACGGUGACAUUCCACGCAUUACAAAUAAUCCAAGAAGAUUCAGUUCUGUCCCCAGUAAACUUUACACUACUUGAAGAUGUCCAAUAGUAUUUCACGGUUGGUCUCUUUGGGUAAUAUGAUGGGCAACAAUGCUUUGUGCAUUUAGCGUUAACAUCAGACGUUUGGUCUAUAUAAUCUUUGUGAAAUAACAUCACCUCUGAGCAGUGACGAUUAGCUGGGAGAACUUUCAUUUGUUCACCAAGUCGAGCAAAGAAGACGCCACAUGGAACCUGUAGCUCGGCCGUGAUGGGAACACCGUUGCUUUAAUGGGGCAGCCGGGCCGACAGCGUGUAAAAGGCCAGAAUUCAAUCACGAGAACUUUAAAAAAAGGAACAUUAAAUGACCAACGGUUAACAAAAAUAACAAAAGGUCUUUAGUAAAGUGUUCUUAUUCAUAUCCGGAUGCAAGGCUGCACUGGUAGGUCCAUGCUAGUGAGGCUGCUGUGGAUGAGAGACGGGCAGGAUGCGACGGCUCCACGUUCACCAACCGUGUCCAUCCUGACUAAAGUGGCCCCCAGAGAUAAAACAUUCAAGGCUCGUUUCGCAUGCUCGUAAACCAUUCUAUCUAUACCCAUGCUCUUUUUACUAAAGCCGGGGUUUUGUGAACAGAAAUGACAAUCUUCUUCUGGGGAUUUCUUAAGUUUUAUACUCCCGAUGGCUCCGUUUUGCUCCUCCCUUAGCAUCACAAGUUAAUGUAAAUGUUACUGCGUUUAAUAACCUGUGUUCAAAACAUGAUGGACUAAACCCCGUCGCCUACGUUAGAGGAACAAUCACCAGUCGUACAAAUCGGUUCUCAAAAUACAACGGCAAGUGACAUUUUGCACCAAAACCUCAUUGUGAAAAACAAAAAACAAAAAAAUAUAUAUCACCCCUCCGUCUGAUUUGUUCAGCUUAUCAAAUGCUAUGACUUUGUUUUUCUCCAUCGCGUCGUACCAACAUUCACCGAUUUAGAUAUUGUAGAAGCUUUACAAAGACAUAAAUAUAGGAGGAUACAAUACAGUAAAAAAUACAAAAUAAAUCCAAUAUAUAUUUUUUUUCUUUUGUUUUCUUUUUUUACUUAAACCAUAACUUACCAGAGGCAAACCCAGAAACAGAUCUUUGACACCAGGCAACUAAACACUAGAAUUACCCCCUGAGGUCAAACCAUAAAACAACAGCCACGUGUCGGACCGGAGCUCGUCCCAGAUGUUACUCACGACUUCCCCGGGACGGGUGAGCAACGCACCACGCGCAGCACGAUAGGCAGUGUGGACGUCCCGCGCUAGUGUCACCACUAUACCAGCGGGACGCUAAGUCGAGGACAACUUCAAGGCACAGUCAUCUAAGGCAGGACAUGCCUCAUGAAUGAAAAGU